CCCUUAGAUGUUCUGGGCCGCACGCGCGCUACAAUGAUGAAUUCAACGAGUUUAUAACCUUGGUUGAAAGGCCUGGGUAAUCUUUUGAACUUUCGUCGUGAUGGGGCUAGACCCUUGCAAUUAUUGGUCUCCAACGAGGAAUUCCUAGUAAACGCAAGUCAUCAGCUUGCAUUGAUUACGUCCCUGCCCUUUGUACACACCGCCCGUCGCACCUACCGAUUGAAUGGUCCGGUGAAAUCUUCGGAUUGAGACUUUGAUUUCUUCACGGAAAACGCUGUUUUAAAAAGUUGAUUAAACCUUACCAUUUAGAGGAAGGUGAAGUCGUAACA
rnacentral:rRNA from 1 species